rnacentral:lncRNA from 1 species
GUAAUCAUACCUUAUCACUCAUAUUGAAUUGUGGUUGUUCUUUGCAAUAGGUGUUUGAAUUGAUCUUUUGUCAUUCUUGAGCUUUCUUUAAUUGUGUCUUCAUUGUUGCAUGCAACUUUGAUAAAUAAUUUAUUAAAUCUUUUGAUAAAAGAUUAUCGAUUUUUAAAAAGUCAAAAAUAUCAAGUCAUAGAUGAUAACCAUAAUUGGCAAAGAAAGGUAGUUGUUGAAUAGAAGAAUAUAUCAAAUUAUUAUAUACAAACU